rnacentral:rRNA from 1 species
CAUGCAAGUCGAGCGGGGGAAGGUAGCUUGCUACUGGACCUAGCGGCGGACGGGUGAGUAAUACUUAGGAAUCUGCCUAUUAGUGGGGGACAACGUCCCGAAAGGAGCGCUAAUACCGCAUACGCCCUACGGGGGAAAGCAGGGGAUCUUCGGACCUUGCGCUAAUAGAUGAGCCUAAGUCGGAUUAGCUAGUUGGUAGGGUAAAGGCUUACCAAGGCGACGAUCU